AGUGAACGCUGGCGGCAGGCUUAACACAUGCAAGUCGAACGAUGGAACACUGCUAGCUGGGUGGAAUGGUUGGCAAGGGGCGAAUGACAGGGGAAUACACCGGACUCGACUCUGUGAUAAGGCAGGGCGAAGGGGAACAAAAGUUGAUAUGACUUAUCACCGCAUGGUGGGGGGAGGAGAGAUUGUGUGGUUUUGCGUGGGUUCGUGGCCUAUCAGGUUGUUCGUGUGGGAAGGGUUCAGCAAGGCGAAGACGGGUAGCCGGCCUGAGAGCGUGAGCGGCGACCCGGGGACUGCGACACGGCCCAGACGCCUACGGGGGGCAGCAGGGGGGAAUAUUGCACAAUGGGCGCAAGCCUGAUGCAGCGACGCUGCGGGAGGGAUGACGGCCUUCGGGUUGUAAACCUCUUUCAGUAGGGAAGAAGCGAGAGUGACGGUACCUGCAGAAGAAGCGCCGGCUAACUACGUG
rnacentral:rRNA from 1 species